rnacentral:piRNA from 1 species
CCCCUGUAUGUGAACCUUAGAUUGUA